GACGGGGGGGGCAAGUGUUCUUCGGAAUGACUGGGCGUAAAGGGCACAUAGGCGGUGAAUCGGGUUGAAAGUGAAAGUCGCCAAAAAGUGGCGGAAUGCUCUCGAAACCAAUUCACUUGAGUGAGACAGAGGAGAGUGGAAUUUCGUGUGUAGGGGUGAAAUCCGUAGAGCUACGAAGGAACGCCAAAAGCGAAGGCAGCUCUCUGGGUCCCUACCGACGCUGGGGUGCGAAAGCAUGGGGAGCGAACAGG
rnacentral:rRNA from 1 species